AACGAACGCUGGCGGCAUGCCUAACACAUGCAAGUCGAACGCCCUCUUCGGAGGGAGUGGCGCACGGGUGCGUAACGCGUGGGAACCUGCCCUUAGGUUCGGAAUAACUCAGAGAAAUUUGAGCUAAUACCGGAUAAUGUCUUCGGACCAAAGAUUUAUCGCCCAGGGAUGAGCCCGCGUAGGAUUAGCUAGUUGGUGAGGUAAAGGCUCACCAAGGCGACGAUCCUUAGCUGGUCUGAGAGGAUGAUCAGCCACACUGGGACUGAGACACGGCCCAGACUCCUACGGGAGGCAGCAGUGGGGAAUAUCGGACAAUGGGCGAAAGCCUGAUCCAGCAAUGCCGCGUGAGUGAUGAAGGCCUUAGGGUUGUAAAGCUCUUUUACCCGGGAUGAUAAUGACAGUACCGGGAGAAUAAGCCCCCGGCUAACUCCGUGCCAGCAGCCGCGGUAAU
rnacentral:rRNA from 1 species